rnacentral:rRNA from 1 species
UGGCGGACGGGUGAGUAACGCGUGGGUAACCUGCCUCAUACAGGGGAUAACAGUUAGAAAUGACUGCUAAUACCGCAUAAGACCACAGCGCCGCAUGGUGCAGGGGCAAAAACUCCGGUGGUAUGAGAUGGACCCGCGUCUGAUUAGGUAGUUGGUGGGGUAACGGCCUACCAAGCCGACGAUCAGUAGCCGACCUGAGAGGGUGACCGGCCACAUUGGGACUGAGACACGGCCCAA